UGCUAUUGUUACCUUGUGGCUCUCCAGUUCUGGCCAGGGUAUUUUCUUGUGGUUGUGCUUUUAAUAGUUCAUCCUGUUAUAAUUUUCAAAGGCAACAUCAUCUGCAUGAAUUCUUUUUAUGCCAGUUGUAAAACAGCCAUGAUAAUUAUUAUCAUUAGGUGAUUCUCACCACACAAAAGGGGGCAUGGCAUCUGCCGGGCAGGGAAGGUUAUUUAGGAGCCAACAAAGCCAGGAGGUGGGCAGGCAGCACUCGCAGUCUGCGCUGGAACGAGCAGAGUCUGGGCUGGGGAGAGCUGGGGCGCGUGUCACUUGAGUGUGCGUCUCCACUGCCCACAAAACACUUCCCUUAGAAACAAAGGCAAAAAGGAAGCCCAACAUAGAAAACGUGAAACCAAAAAACAGCAGAUUCAUUCAUUCAAGACACAUGUGUUGAGCCCUAAUUAUAUGCUUGACACAGGUCUAGGCUCUAGUGAGGAACCUGAAACGAGGCAACACUCCUCCCUGCCCAGAGGUAGCACAGGUGUUCCAGAGGGAGAGAGCGAUAAUGAGCACUUGCAUAUUUAAUAUAACGGAGAAAGCAGAGAACAAGGGGAGGAGAUAAAGGCUGACCAGAGGGCAGGGGGCCUAUUUCACAUGGAGGUCAUGGGAAACAUCUGAGGGAGAUGACAUUUGGGAAGAGACCUAAUGAAGUGAGUAAGUCGUAAGAAUUCAGGGGAGAAGGGAAGUGUUCUAAGUGGAAAGGACCAGCAAGUGCAAAGUCCCUGAGGCAUACACGAAUGUGAUCCGGGAAGUGCAAAGGCCUUGAGGCAUACACGAAUGUGAUCCAGGAAGAGCAAAGUGGUCCUCCAGGCAAUCACAGAAAGAGAGGGCAAGAACAAUGGGGUGGAGGUCGAUGAGCUACGCAGGAAGCAGGUCAGGAUGGAUACCACAGGCUGCACAGUGAGGAGUUUGGAUGGAAUUGUGGGAUUUUGGUGGGCAGGAGAGAGGAUGAUAUGAUUUGUGUGUAUAGAGAUCGGCUAUAGGGUUGCAAGAGUCUGAAACAUGGAGAAGAAUUUGCAGGCGUUUGCGUUAGCCUAGGCCUGCAAUGGUGAUGGCUCUGAAAGGAGUGGAGGCAAAUGUGAGGAGCAGGUGCAUUUGAGCUGUGCUUUGCAGGUAGAACUGGGGGCCUUGCUGAUGGAGUGAAUGUGAGGAGGGUGAGAGAAAAGAUAAACUAUUACAGCAUAGUAGUGCUUACAAGCAAAGACUAACCCUAACCCUAGGGUUAGGAGAUGAUAAGAGCCUACGUCGUUCAAGUCUUUGCUCCUUACUAGCUGUGUAAAUUUGGGCAAGGUAUUUAACCUGUCUGUGCCCAUCUGUAAAAUGGGGAUGGUCAUAGUAUCUCCUUUGACUGGGGAUUGUGAGUGUGCAUGGGACACACACACACACACACACACGUGUUUAGAACACAAUCUGGCCUCCAAUAAGAAUAUAUGUGUUAGUAAUUACUAUUAUUGGUGAAUUAAGCAAUUAGGUGAAUUUGGUGCCAUUUACUGAGAUGGAGAAGACUGGAGGAGGAGUGAAUUUUGGGGAAAAUCUUAGGAAUUCUGUUUCGGAAGUGUUCAGUUUAAGAUGUUUAUCAGACUUAUACACAGAGGUGUUGAGCUGGACAUAGGAAUCUGAAGGUCCCAGGGAAAAAGGAACUAGAAAUAGAGAUGCGAUCUUUAAAGCAUGACUCCUGAAAGAGAUCAGAAACAUUGAGAGCUUGGGGAAAGGAGGAAGAGUCAGCAAAGGGAGUUAAAAGAAAGGGCCGACAGUGUUGGAGAAAAUUAAGUGUUCAUUUUCUAAGAGAAACAGUGCUUCAAGAAAGAGGCAAGGCCAACUCACAAAGUCCAGUAAAGUUUGGAGCCAUGGACGCUGCAACUUGUACAAGAGGCUUCAGUGUUGUGUGAGGUCAGACGCCUUUGCGGAGUGGGCCUGGAGAGCAGGCAGGUGAGAAAGUGCAGAUGGUGUAUUAGAAAGGCAGCCGCCAGGGUGCCUCCGCCCAGAUGCGUGCAAGCUUGAGCUUUACAAACCCUUCACUUUCAUGUUGGCACUGCUGUAAGGCCCAUGGUUUUCUUGUUCCCUUCCUAUUCUUUCAGGAAGGAAUCAGAGUCAGCAAUGAUGGUUCUGUUGCUUAAAACUAGUGACACUGGCACACUCACCUGAAUGGUGCACAACUUGGCACAAACGGAUUUAUGGAUGACUGAUGUCCUUAUAAGAAGAGAGAGAGGCAUGACGGCCAUGGGAGGACACAGCAAGGGGCGCCAUCUGCAAGACAAGGAGAGGUCUCAGAAGAAACCAGGCAUGCCGAUCUUGAUCUCGAUCACUCACUUGCGGCCUCUGAAACUCAAAAACGUGUUGUUUAAGCCAACCUGUCUCUGGUACUUUGUCACAGCAGCUGGAGCUGACUAAUACACUUAACCUCACAUACCUA